AUUGAACGCUGGCGGCAUGCUUUACACAUGCAAGUCGAACGGUAACAGGUUAAGCUGACGAGUGGCGAACGGGUGAGUAAUGCAUCGGAACGUGCCCGGUCGUGGGGGAUAACGCAGCGAAAGCUGCGCUAAUACCGCAUACGAUCUGAGGAUGAAAGCGGGGGACCGUAAGGCCUCGCGCGAUCGGAGCGGCCGAUGUCAGAUUAGGUAGUUGGUGGGGUAAAGGCUCACAAAGCCAACGAUCUGUAGCUGGUCUGAGAGGACGACCAGCCACAGGGGGACUGAGACACGGCACAGACUCCUACGGGAGGCAGCAGUGGGGAAUUUUGGACAAGGGGCGAAAGCCUGAUCCAGCAAUGCCGCGUGCAGGAAGAAGGCUUUCGGGUUGUAAACUGCUUUUGUACGGAGCGAAAAGGUCUCCUCUAAUACAGGGGGCUCAUGACGGUACCGUAAGAAUAAGCACCGGCUAACUACGUGCCAGCAGCCGCCGCCG
rnacentral:rRNA from 1 species